CGACGUUGGUCAGGCCCACGUGGGCACCCUCGCUGUGAUCGAGGGCGUCCAGCGCGCCGCUGCGCAGGAGUUCGGGUUCCAUUCCCACGCCGUCGUCC
rnacentral:tRNA from 2 species